GCCUUAAAAGCUAAUAGUCCCAGCACCUGGUCUUGUAAACCAGCGAAGAAGGUUAAAAUCCCUCUUAGGGU
rnacentral:tRNA from 1 species